UUUCUAUGCAAACAUUAUGACCACAGCCUAAAUUCUUAGCACUUUCCAUUGUGAUUGUGUAUAAACAUCUCUCACGUCCUAAUCAGAACAUCUUGGAGGUCUACUUUACUAUUAUUUUUUUUAUUCCCAGUAACCAGCACAUAACAUAUACUUAAAUGGUUCUUGAAUAUAGGUGGAUAACAAUGAGAAGAAGCCAGAGAAAAGAUUUAUUGUAGUAAAGGUCCAGUCCUGGUGAUGGUUAAUGACAGGCAGUCUUCCUAUGUUGCUGCCUUACUGAGGACAUGAGAAGAUCUUGGCUCUAAGCUGAAAAGAACUGCAGUAAAAUGUGACUACUGCUAAGCCACCAAAAUGCUGUGCAGUAGGGCAAGUUGGUUCCACUUCCAUCUUGGACAAAACUUCAUAGACCUGAUGAUGGUUAGAUAUAAUAGCCUGCCCCUCAGGCCGACACUUCAAAAUAAGCAGCUGUCAUUCAACCGGCCUUUAGAUUUCUUAAAGAAGAAAUUGUUUCAUAUGUUGCUGUUGACUCGGUAUGUCUGUGAGAGGCGGGUUCAGGAUCUUCCUGUACCACCAUCUUGAACCAGAACCUGUCUUGGUUUUAAUUGACUAUUGAUGAUGCUACCAGUGUCUUCUAAUCUUUGAGCAACUGUUCUCAUUGAAUGACUAAGAGCUAAAAUGAGUGUCUUUUCUCUGGACACAUUUCUUUGCCUGCUACAAUGAAACACAAUUUAUUUAGCUUCAGUAAACAGCUUUCUUUGGCUAACAAAUGAGCCACUUGGAAACCUACUUUCCUUGCAACUUCAUUUACAUUUAUUUUUGUGAAGAAAUUCUGAUGAGAAAAUCCUCAAAUUUUCUGACUGUUGUUUUCCUGUGAGUUGGGGGCACUGUGAUGAGUGCUUAGUGUAAGGAGACAUACGUUGCAUUCUCUUAGCACAGAUACAGAAUUACAGUUGCCAUUUAAUUCAUUAACAAAAAUCUACCCUCCACUUUACCCUGGAAAUGUGGUAUUCAGGAUCUGCCUUUCUUCUUUUCACAAUGGAUGUA